UGGGGAAUAUUGCGCAAUGGGCGAAAGCCUGACGCAGCGACGCCGCGUGCGGGAUGGAGGCCUUCGGGUUGUAAACCGCUUUUAUCGGGGAGCAAGCGAGAGUGAGUGUACCCGUUGAAUAAGCACCGGCUAACUACGUGCCAGCAGCCGCGGUAAUACGUAGGGUGCAAGCGUUAUCCGGAUUUAUUGGGCGUAAAGGGCUCGUAGGCGGUUCGUCGCGUCUGGUGUGAAAGUCCAUCGCUUAACGGUGGAUCUGCGCCGGGUACGGGCGGGCUGGAGUGCGGCAGGGGAGACUGGAAUUCCCGGUGUAACGGUGGAAUGUGUAGAUAUCGGGAAGAACACCAAUGGCGAAGGCAGGUCUCUGGGCCGUUACUGACGCUGAGGAGCGAAAGCGUGGGGA
rnacentral:rRNA from 1 species